GCGCGAGCUGGCGCUCAAGCUGCGGCGCAGGUGAGUAAUCAGUUGUGGGUGGCUCUAGUGAAGCCCUCUCACAUCUCUUUAUUCACAGGCGGCGAGAGUUGCGCCACAAGUACGGCAC
rnacentral:precursor_RNA from 15 species